CCGGAAGAGCCGCGGCCGGGUGCCGUGCUCCCGCGCGGGGCGGGGCCGGUGCGGCCACGCGGUGCGAGGCGGAAGUCGGCGGCCGAGGGUCCGUGGGACGCGUGAGGAGUCGGAUCGAUAGUUCUUUGGUGCCUCCAGACCCUAAACUUCAGUCAAACUGACCUACUCAGCUCCACCACUUGGCAGCCCUCAACGUUUUCCUGCUGACAUUAGAAGCAUUGCUCCAAAGUCUGAGAGGGAAAAGCCAUCCAAAAUCCAGUGUCUGUGACUUGGGAGAGGCAGUCUGUUACAAAAGCCUUUGCUCUCCGCCUUAUAAACUGAACGGGAGGAAAAAACGCAGAUGACUUUCUCACCCUGACUGCUGUGGAAAUGGUGAAUUUGCUCGGUAUUCAUCACAUGCAACUGUCAUCGGGCUACAGAUCAUCUGCACUCCGUGCUCUGAGGAGACAAUCUGCUGAGACAGUGAUGCAGAGCAACAAGCUGCACGCCAAAGGGCACGGAAGAGGGGAGCAGAGUGCUGGAUGAAGGCGGGCGGGCAUCCAGCGUUGGAGUAUUGGCAGGACCGCAGGUGGUUCUGACUAGCUAACGCUUUUCUGGCCUUGUGUUCUGGGUGCAGGUUUUGAGGCGCUGUGCUGUGCGGAGGGACAGGCGAAGAUGGAACUGGUGGCUGUGCUGUCUUCUGGGUGUAGGGUUUUUUAAUUUGAAGGUGCGUAGUGGGAUGUUGGCAGUGCAGGUGGCAGUGCAGGUGACUCGGGGAAGGUGAGCAAUUUAGUUUUCAGGUGUCACAUUGUCGGUCAGUAUCGAAGCGUCGCCUGGUUGUGUUCGUAGGUGGUACGUGAGCCUGGGGGUGGCAAUGUGUCAAUGGCAGAGACCGGACGGGCGAGCGUCCAAGGGGAAGGAGCAGGAGGCGGGAAUGAGUGCGGGCGGGCUGCUGUUUCAGGCAGCAUCUGAGUACAUGCCUUUUGCUUUGUGUGGUGCAGGUGCUUCAGGCAGGCUCGGGGAAUGGAGGCGCCUGCUGGCAAGCGGUCCGAGGCGAGGCAAGAAUUGGCUGGGCCAGCGUUUAAGAGCAGAGAAUCGUGUGGCAGCCCAGUGAAGCGUUUACCGUUUGGCAGAUGAAGAGGAACCUGGUGAUUGCAGGAGUAUCCCAGUUGGCUGAUGUGGCUUCCGUCGAGGAUGGCUUCUCUUCCCCGGGCUGCUGGGAGCUGGCUGGAAGGAGCAGGGAGCGCUGCCCCACGGCGCGUGAUACAGACGUCAGCUUGGGAGUGAUUUUUCCAAACUGGAAGCGCUUUGCCUUCCGAGAGGUUGUGUUUUAGGAGCUUCCCAGCAGAGCGAGUAUUAAGAAGAGGGUGUGCUUAGCAGUCAAAGCCACCAGCAACAAGACUUUCCACUGUCCUGAAAAAAAAAAGGGAAAAAGGUGAAUUUCCUUCCAAAGACUCCUGCACAGCACAUGCUCCAGAAAUGGGUGGUGUCGCUGGUCCUUACGCUUUCUCAGUUGUAGCAGUUGGGACAUCAUCAAAAUGUGUUCCUUCCCCAUGCUUCGGUACAGCCAAAAGCAUUAGCAGCUGGGCCAGUCCUUUGUGGUAGCCUUAUGUAUCGCAGCACUGGGGGGGGGUGUGUGUGUGAUUUUCUUUGGUGUUUUUUUGUUUGUUUGUUUUUGUUGUGUUGUUUUUGGGGUUUUUUUUUUUUUUUUUUUUUUUUCCCCAAAGCGCUGGCGAUUGUUGGCUGUGUUUUCUUGCAGCUGAACAGCUGGAGUUUGGCUAACUGUGGCAGAGCGGAGGGUCUAUGCUCCUUUUUGCAUUUGGGGGCUGAGGGUGGAUCCAGCUGCCCCCAGCUUCCUCUCCGAGAAGGAGUUUAGAGAGCAAGGGGAUCCAGUCUGAACCUCACGACUUGGCAGGAGGGUCUUUCUGGACUCCUUGUUUAACAAGAAGUUGAAACUAUGUGGUGGGUUUCUUCCCUCACUGCCUUGCUGUCAUGAUUGAAACUUGAAAAAAGUUAAAAUGUUAUAAAUUAGAAAUUGCCUUGUAUUGUUUAUCAUGUAAGUGUCAAGAGCUGUAGCAGAUAGUUUAUGAGGUGUGCUUCAGGAGGUAGGUAUUUGUUCCAAAGGUUUAAAAAGAGAGGCAGGUGGAUGUUAUGUAGUUUCCCCCCAGUGUCUCCACGAGUCCUCUGAAGGCCUGGGUUUGGCUUUCACUGGUGCAUUUCCCUGGGAGGGGGUCGGGAGGGUCUGUCUCCUGGGCAGACAUCCUUUAGAACUGUGCAACAUUCAAAAAAAGCCCCUUGUGGAAUUCUGCCCGAGUUCCGGAGACAGGUAACGGUGUCAGUUCACAGCCGUGCGAGUUCAAGUCACGCCGAAGGAAAGGUCAAGGGUUUUUUUACAGAGGUGUGUUGAUUGUAUGUUUGUAAACAUCUGCACCCUUUUUAAUCAUGAGGUGAAACACUG